AUUAAGGCCGGUUACUAUUAUUAGCGCCCACCACUCACACUUCACUUGUAUUUUUCUUUUUUUAAUUUAAAAAAAAAAAUUAGUUUUUUUUUUUUUUUUUUUUUUUUUUUUUUGAGGAAAAAUUAGUAUUUUACUUAUCCCCAAUUCCCAAUUUUACUGAAGGAAAACAUUGAAGAACCCUAACUUCUUACUGACUUCCUCUCCCCUCACUCUCAUUCAAGGACCGGCGCUGCUCUCAGAUCGACGUUGGCCGAACUCCGACGACGGCCGACCAGUGUUCGUCUGCUUUCCUUUAGCCUUCUCUGAGUUCUCUCUCUUCGACAAAGCAAAACUCCAGUCUUCAGUUUUGUAGCCUGAUGAACAGAGUUUUGCAAAGGUGUAUUUCUGCCACCAGACCAUCAAUGUUAAAAUGAGAUGUGAUGGACAUGACAUGUCAAUUUGAGUUCAAGAGAUUAGUUGAUCAAGGUGGUGCAUGCUUUCUAGUAAGUUUCCGAGCAAUGGUCAACUCUGAUUUUCCGUGCACGUAAAAGUUAAUACGGAGAGACAAAACAAUGUGAACAACAGACAGAGUUAUGUGAGAGACAAUAUUGGGCCUUGUGAGAGACAUGGUUGUAAUUUAUAAGUACAUCAUUUUCUUGUAGAGCUGAUGAUAUAUAUGUAGAUUUUAAUUAAAUUGAGCCUUACAUUGUUUAGGAUAUAUAAUCUUUGUAUUUAUCAUAAAAGUGAAUUAAUAUUGUAUAAUGUUUCACAUAAUAAAAAAAAAUGUAGCGUAUUAGUGGGGUGAAUACAAGUUAUGUGAAAUUAUUUGGA